rnacentral:rRNA from 1 species
ACAUCCUUUGACCACUCUAGAGAUAGAGCUUUCCCUUCGGGGUCAAAGUGACAGGUGAUUCAUGGUUGUCGUCAGCUCGUGUCGUGAGAUGUUGGGUUAAGUCCCGCAACGAGCGCAACCCUUAUUACUAGUUGCCAGCAUUUAGUUGGGCACUCUAGUGAGACUGCCGGUGACAAACCGGAGGAAGGUGGGGAUGACGUCAAAUCAUCAUGCCCCUUAUGACCUGGGCUACACACGUGCUACAAUGGAUGGUACAACGAGUCGCAAGGUCGCGAGGCCAAGCUAAUCUCUUAAAGCCAUUCUCAGUUCGGAUUGUAGGCUGCAACUCGCCUACAUGAAGCCGGAAUCGCUAGUAAUCGCGGAUCAGAACGCCGCGGUGAAUACGUUCCCGGGUCUUGUACACACCGCCCGUCACACCACGAGAGUUUGUAACACCCGAAGCCGGUGAGGUAACCUUUUAGGAGCCAGCCGUCUAAGGUGGGAUAGACAAUAUGG